rnacentral:rRNA from 1 species
UACGAGGGGUCCUAGCGUUGUUCGGAAUCAUUGGGCGUAAAGCGUCUGUAGGCGGCUUUGUAAGUCAGGUGUGAAAGCCCCGGGCUCAACCCGGGAAGUGCAUUUGAUACUGCAUAGCUUGAAUGUUGGAGAGGAUAGUAGAAUUCCAGGUGUAGUGGUGAAAUACGUAGAUAUCUGGAGGAACACCGGUGGCGAAGGCGACGUCCUGGACCGGCAUUGACGCUGAGGCGCGAAAGCCAGGGGAGCAACGGG